rnacentral:misc_RNA from 1 species
GAUGAAGAACGCAGCGAAAUGCGAUACUUGGUGUGAAUUGCAGAAUCCCGUGAACCAUCGAGUCUUUGAACGCAAGUUGCGCCCGAAGCCAUUAGGCCGAGGGCACGCCUGCCUGGGCGUCACACGUCGUUGCCCCCCCCAUCUACUCCUUCGGGAUUGCGGGGGGCGGAUGAUGGCCUCCCGUGCGCCUCGCCGCGCGGUUGGCAUAAAUGCCAAGUCCUCGGCGACGCACGCCACGACAAUCGGUGGUUGCGAAACCUCGGUUGCCCGUCGUGUGCGGUCGUCGCGCAUCGAGGGCUCGAAAAAAUUGCCGAGUUCCGGCUCGGCUUUCAACGCGACCCCAGGUCAGGCGGGGUUACCCGCUGAAUUUAAGCAUAUCAAUAAGCGGAGGA